rnacentral:sRNA from 1 species
UAUUAUAUGAUGAUUUUGCAACUUUCCAUAUAUAGAAAUAGAAAGAGAUAGACUAGAAACGACAUCUCUUAUGUCAAUGACACCAAAGGGAUAUUAAAUGAAUGGAAUUGGGAUAUGGAUAGAAUAUAAUGAAAUAAAUAGAGCCGCUUUGAGGUUCCCUAUGAAAUGAGGCAUGGAACGGAGCCACUACGAAGAAGUUCCGGGGGUUACGAAGGAAACUUCGAGUUCAUAUUGGUCAUGUGGGUUGAGAACGGGAAUUGAACUCUAUAAGAUCUAAUCUCCCAUUGUUCCUCAGUAGCUCAGUGGUAGA